rnacentral:rRNA from 2 species
CCCCCAGUAAGGGCGACUGAACGGGGAGGAGCCCAGCGCGGAACCUCGCGCGCCUGACCGGCUGCGUCUGAGGAAUGUCGCGUUUCGGAGGGGCCUUCUCCGACCACACCGACCCCCCCCAAGUCCGCUUGAACGCGGCCACUACCCAUGGAGGGUGCGAGGCCCGUACGGGGAUUAGGAGUCGGGCGGUCGGACGGCCCCGUCCGUAGAGUCGGGUUGCCUACUAACGCAGCCCAAAGCAGGUGGUAAACUCCAUCCAAGGCUAAAUACGACCACGAGACCGAUAGCGAACAAGU